UGCUCGUGGGGGAGGGGCAGGAGGGGUCUGCUCCUCUGCUUCCAUUGCGACCGCGGCAGGUUGUUAGUUACCAAACAGAGAGGGAAGAUGAGCUCCUGCUUGGAUUUUUUUCUGCCAGCACAUGAUUUAUAUUUUGAGUAAAUUCAAGACCAAAGAUGUUCAAAGAAGCUCCAAGACAUUCUUAUAUAGC